UCCUUAACGUCUUAACGGGUCGGAUCCCGAAAUCCCGUCUUCCCCAGCUCCGGCGAUCUCCACCACCACUGCAGCCGCCUUCCAUUUCCACCGGUCCGCCGAGCGUCUCUCUCCGUCUCCGCACUCCACGAUCUGCGCCAACCUUCCCCAAUUCCGGAGGUGACCGGCGCUUAUCUUCGGGCGCCGCUGCGGGAUCCCACCUGGGCGCAUCCGCCGCCAUGGGUGGAAGCGCCUGGGUGGUUCAGUUGGCUUCCCUUCUCGCGCUUGGUUUGGUGCUCGGCUCCGUCGAGGCCAGCCUCGGGGAUAUUGAUCCGCGGUACAGAACCUGUGUGAGGGAGUGCCAAACUACAGGGGUCAUUGGGGAGAAUAUCAUCAGCCACUGCCAGUCCAAAGAUAAUGACACAUCUGUUGCAGGUUCUUGGUACAACCAGGAGCAAAUUUACAUGCAGUGGAAACAACUGAAUUGUAGGACAGAUUGUCGCUACUUCUGCAUGAUGUGGAGAGAAGGAGAACGGCAAUCUCUUGGUCUGAGUCCUGUUAAAUAUCAUGGAAAGUGGCCAUUCUUACGUGUUUCUGUGUUCCAGGAACCUCUUUCAGCUGCACUAUCUGCUGUGAACCUAUUUAUGCACUUCAUUGGCUGGCUUUCAUUUUUCCUUCUAGUGAAUUACAAAUUGCCUCUUAGACCCCAGACCAAGAGAACUUACUAUGAAUAUACUAGCUUAUGGUAUGUCUAUGCAAUCUUAUCAAUUAAUGCAUGGCUCUGGAGCUCUAUCUUCCAUACUAGAGAUAUCGACUUGACUGAGAAAUUGGACUACUCUUCAGCUGUCGCCCUGCUUGGGUACUCUUUAAUCCUUUCAUUGCUAAGGACUUUCAGUGUAAAAGAUGAGGCUACCAGGGUGAUGUUUGCAGCCCCAAUUCUGGCAUUUGUUACAACGCACAUCUUGUAUCUUAACUUUUAUGAGCUUGACUAUGGAUGGAACAUGAAAGUUUGUGUGGUGAUGGCUGUAGUUCAACUUCUGACAUGGGCAAUUUGGGCUGGUGUAACCCAACAUCCAUCACGACUCAAGCUAUGGACAGUUAUUUUUGGAGGAGCACUAGCUAUGCUUCUUGAACUCUACGACUUCCCUCCAUACAUGGGCUAUGCGGAUGCUCACUCGCUGUGGCAUGCAAGCACCAUUCCACUCACAUAUCUAUGGUGGAGCUUUAUUAAGGAUGACGCCGAAUUCCGAACCUCAACUCUCAUGAAGAAGGCAAAGUAAGCAGAAGGACCACAGAUUGUUAACGUUGGAUCUGAGAGGAUCAGAUUUCAUGACCCACUUAAGAAACAUUACGACACUUGUGCUGUCAGACAUCACAAACCUUCCGUAUAUUUGGCCCCUUGAUGCUCCUGCCGUCAAUCCGAAAAGGGAUCCAUGUUCAUGCUCUCACGAUUUUGGUCCACAAACUCAUCAUCUUCCUUUGGGCACAUAUCCGGCCCUUGAGAUCUGUCUGUUGAUUGCUGAACGAAAAUUCUGCAGUUGAAUUCGCAUCUUAUCUUUUUGAUCUGGUGGGGCUUACAAGAUUUUUUUGGUCAUUGCCAAUUCAGUUUUGCAAAAUCACACUGAACACCAUUGGUGUGUUUCCUAUGUGCAACCGUUGUUUGAAACGUAAGGGUACAGUGCCCUAGAAGCACCUUUCGAGCUCCUAGUCGAUCCUGUCGCUUUCCGUUGGAUCUUGACGUCCUGCACGCGCACUAGGAGCAUGUCUGGUCGGAGGCACGAAUGGGGAUAGUGGCAAGAAAGUUUCGCAACUUGGAAUUUUUAGAAGGUGGGCGAGUGAUAUCUGUCACUGAGGACUUGGAGACAUUUACAGAUCAGUUUACUGGGAAUAUCAUGCAAAAUUUUCUCGGAA